GGGGAUGACAGGAUUCGAAAGAAGCUUUAAUUUAAAUAGUGCAAGCCGAGCUCAAAUCUCGUUAAAAUUUGAAAACUUUAAUAAGUGCCAACUUAUUCAAGAAACCUGCGUUAGCGUUUGCCUAACGCCAUCCACUUCGCCACAUUCUCAAUAGGCGAAUCCGGGUGUCAUACAUUGAGAUAGAUAAUUCUUUUUACCCAGCCAUAGCUUUAGCGAAGGCGGGUUGUCUCGAAAGAACUAUUAAAAAAAUAGAGACAAAAAAUUCUCUGCCUUAGGCAGAUAAACUUGUAGAGCUAUCUAAAUUAAACUUUUUGACGAGGGUUCAACUCCCUCCAUCUCCACCA
rnacentral:tmRNA from 1 species